CUUCUGUGGAACACAAAAUGUUGGUAACCAGAUUCUGGUCCCUACUGACUUGAAUAAUAUGAAGAAAAAAGAUUCAUUUAUAUGUAUAUGGGGACCUGAAACUGUUUGGUUAUAAAGGUCAUACAGGUUUGGAACAAGUUAAGGGUGAGUAUAUUAUGAGAAUUUUCAUUUAGGGUGAACCAUCCCUUUAAACCUUAGUCUUCGUAUUGUGCAAUAUGUAUGUAUACCAAAAUUACCUUCUACCUUUGCCAAAAAUGUUUAGUAUAUAACAGCAUACUGCACUGGGUCCUGUAUCCCACAAUGCAACUUGUUCAGCUUGAUUGUCUCAUUAAGAUAAAAAAAUAUAUAUAUUUGUGAUAUGGAGUACGUAUAUACCAACACCAAUGCAUUCUUUCCACAUACAGUACUUUUAAGGUCAGUAAAUAUAUAAACUUUUAUUCAGCAAGGAUGCAAAAUAAAUUGAUUAAAAAGUGAGACUUUUUUCUUCAGCACAUUUACAACAUGGUUUCUUGACACUGAAGACUGGAGUAAGGAUGCUGAAACUUCAGCUUCACCAUCAGUUACAUUUUUAAUUGUUACUGUAUUUUUAAUCAAAUAAAUGCAGCCUUUUUGGUUAGCAUGAGCUUUUUUAUAAAAAAACUGACCUCAAUUUUUGACUGAAGUACACAUGUACAGUAUAAUUAUACAAAUAAUGAUGCAGGACAUUAUGUAUUCUGGAAUUUAUUUUAUAAGUCUGUACAAUAAUUGCUAUAUAUAACUUAACUACUCUUACAUUUUCUACCAUGUUGAAUCUGAAUUCUCA